UGGGGAAUAUUGGACAAUGGGGGGAACCCUGAUCCAGCCAUGCCGCGUGUGUGAAGAAGGCCUUUUGGUUGUAAAGCACUUUAAGCGAGGAGGAGGCGCUCUAGGCUAAUACCCUAGAUGCGUGGACGUUACUCGCAGAAUAAGCACCGGCUAACUCUGUGCCAGCAGCCGCGGUAAUACAGAGGGUGCGAGCGUUAAUCGGAUUUACUGGGCGUAAAGCGCGCGUAGGUGGCUAAUUAAGUCAAAUGUGAAAUCCCCGAGCUUAACUUGGGAAUUGCAUUCGAUACUGGUUAGCUAGAGUAUGGGAGAGGAUGGUAGAAUUCCAGGUGUAGCGGUGAAAUGCGUAGAGAUCUGGAGGAAUACCGAUGGCGAAGGCAGCCAUCUGGCCUAAUACUGACACUGAGGUGCGAAAGCAUGGGGAGCAAACA
rnacentral:rRNA from 1 species